UCCUCCGGCACCGGCUGAUGGUGUUGCCUAGGGAGAGGGAUCCUCUUGGUGACACAGAUGUUGUGGAGGACAGUGCACGCUGCUAUUACGAUGCAGACUCGCUCAGGGUGCAUCCGCAUCUCUCCAUGAAGACAAUGAAACCUAGAAAAAAGAAUUAAUGAUUAGGCUAUUGUAAAACCUAAAUGUGUCACGUUUGGCGAGUUUUAUAUAGCCUAGGCCUAGUCUAUUUAUAUAGUUUUCAGUGAUCUAGUGACCACACUAUAUCAGCACCAUGGAUAGCGGCACAGACACGCGGAAAGAAUUUUACCUGCGCUUGAGGACUCCGAUGCACCGCUCAACGAGGGACCUAGUGGUGGUGUGGAUGGUGUUAUACCGUCGUUCUUGCUCAGUCCUCGGAGCAAUUAUAGGAGUCAUCAGCCAGUGUUUCAGUGGGUAUCCACUGUCACCGAGAAGCAGCCCAUUUACUCUUCCAGCCUCGAAAUCCUGGUAUAACGCACUCUCUCGGAGGAUGCGUGCGUCAUGGGUAGAUCCAGGCCAUCUUGCCACCAAAUUAAAGAUGUUAUAAUUGGCGUCACAAGCAAUCUGCACAUUGAUUGAAUGGUAUCCCUUGCGGUUGACAUACAGAUACUCAUGCUCAGAUGGUGCCUGGAUCCGGAUGUGAGUCCCAUCGAUGCAGCCCACAAUACCAGGAAUGCCAGAGGCCCGGAGGAAUCGGUGUUUCAUCACCGCAGACUUGGCCUCAGUGGGGAGGUGUUGAUGGUCAGACUCUGACAGAAUCUGAACCAGUGGUUAAAAGGCCUGGAGAAUCCCACAGAUUGACCUGUACAGCCUCUGGAUUCACAUUCAGCAGCUACGGGAUGCACUGGAUCAGACAGGCUCCUGGAAAAGGACUGGAGUGGAUCGCUUAUAUAAGCACAGCUAGUACUCCCAUCUCUUACUCCCAGUCAGUCCAGGGUAGAUUCACCAUCUCCAGAGAUGACUCCAGCAGUAAAGUCUAUCUACAGAUGAACAAUCUGAAAACAGAGGACACAGCAGUGUAUUACUGUGCCAGAGAGACACAGUGAAAGACAAUAACAGGAGAGUCAUACAAAAACUACUUCCUCUAUUUACCACCACUGAGAACAUUCAGUAUUAUAAUAUUAUCAGUAUAUUUAAUUUCCACUACCACUGUGAUUGAAAGUAAACAUAAAUGUUAACAGUACUGUACAGAGUACAGAGUCAACACUUGAAGUCACAGAGUCACUCUCUGUUAAAUACAGGCACAUUUUAGGGUGCAACAUAAAAUUAGUAACACACUCCAUCAUGAAGCAGAGGUGUUUUCCAGGCAGAUUUUUUUCACUCUGCACAGACAAUAUCAAAACAAAAAGUACUUUAAGUGGAUAUGGUAUUAUUAAACGCUGAUAGAACUGAAAUCCAAUUAUCACUAUUUAAAUAAUAAACAGAUGUUGUCAUUU